AGCAGCCCGCACGCUCCUUCACAGUUGCCAGGCUAAUUUUAAAACUAUGUAUUUUUUAUCCCCUUAGGAGGCUUACAGACUGCUAAAGGCGUCCCUGAAGUCUCAGGUCAUCAGUUAUGGUGACUAUAGUGAAAAAGUGGCUGAAACUUUUUUUAACAUGGGCAGGAUCUGCUUUGCCAAAGGAGAGCUCAGAAAGGCAAUUCAGCUGCUAAGGAAGUGUCUGAUGAUUCAGAUCGUUAUACAUGGAACUGAGCACAGUAAAAGCAGAGAUACAGAAAACCUCCUUACCCUACUGCAGAGGGUGAGUAACGGUUCAUCCAGAUGGAGAAGAGAGGCCAUUCCAGGAAGAUACUCUCUAUGCAAAGGCACAGGCGCGUGACGGGGGCAGCGUAUGGAAGGAAUGGUCUUCUGUUAUCAGUAAAGAGAAAACCUCUAUACAAGAUAGCCAACAAUAAAGCCAAAUUUGUUGAUAACAAAAAUUCUGUACCACAAAAUAUAUUCACCAACACUCACAGCAGUGACAAAUCGGAAGCAGAACCAAGAAUUCUGGGGGGAACAGGUCCACUCAGCAGCAGCAUUACAGGUAAAAGACCCGAGAGCCAUUAGAAACCAAGAUCCCGUUACCUGAGAGGAAGAAAUCUUUUAGGCACGUGCGUUAAGUUAGUCUCUCAUGCCACUGGGACUCCCUUUACCCUCCAUUUCCCUUCUUCUAACUCCGAUUCCAUUCUUUUCAAUUCUGACCUUUUAGAAAAAUUCUGCAAUGCCUAAGUAGUUUAUUGGUGAACAUUUUAAUAUACUACUUGUAAGUAUCUUUAGUCAUAACCUGUUAGAGUUCACUACAACUGCUUUGUGAGGAAAUGUCUGAUCUGGUGAAACACUGGCCUUAUCUGGCUUACUGAAGUCAUGCGUGUUAGAGUCAGAAAGGCCUGUUUGAUUCUUGUAAGUGAAGAAACCAGGGACAAGAGGAACUGAUCUACUCAAGGUCAGCCUGGUGAUAAUAAAGCAGACCUCCCGAAUCCCGGACAGUUACUUUCCAUCCCCCCAUGCCAUCCCCACCAAACCGGACGAUAAAGGCUUUUUUAGGAGAGGAACGCUCAUGCUCGCUGAGGCUGUUAAAUCCUGAGGCCCUGAACAAGUGUGUAUCUAGGAAACUGACAAUCUUGAAUUAUAUUCCUCCUUUUCCUCUUUGUAUAUUCAGGGACAGAGGAGAAAUCAGAUUCAAGUUUGCACUUUUAGUUUUCCUUUUCAUCGUUCCUCAGUUACCUGAGCUCAUUUAACGAAGCUCAAAGACCUAUCUUUGGAGAGCCAAGUGUGUCUCUGACACUCAGUGCUUCUAGAACCACAUUUUGGUUCUUGAUUCAGGAAGUUCUUUUUUCAUUUCAGUCAUUUGUUCAGUUUGUAAAAUCUAAACAUCAACCAGUACCCGAGGUGUAGCAGCGAGCAGGGCUCCGCAUAUUACCAAUUAAUCCAGCGGUUGGCCCGCAGACUUCCUCCCCGCAGCUGCCGCUCUCCCUUAGCUGACUCGCAGAGCACUUUAAGCACGGCACUCAGGACCAGGGUCUCGGGCUUCGGCCCUGGCUGAAGGCUGCGGUAUGCCGCUGACCUUCUCUGCAGUGUGUGUGAACCGGUCACCCCGUCUGGAGAUGGGACUGCUGUUCUUGCCCAGAAUAUUCUAAAUUGACCAAAGCAGCCUCAGAAGACUUGCUUUCAUUUUCUCAUAUCCAGUUGAAAAGAGAUUUUCAACAAUGACUGUGAUAAAAACAAAGUAUCAGAAAGAAGUGGUCAUUCAGACUCUGUCUUGGGUGGCCCUAAAAUUUUAAAAAUUUUAUGAUUUUGUGAGACCCCAAAAUCUUGAGAUCUCCAAACCGACAAACCUGUAUCAAGAAAACAAUAGCAUAAAGUAUAACAUAGUAAAAUAAAAUGUUAUGG